GGGAGGAUCAAAAGCCCCACUCUCUACCUUACUCCAUCUGCAGAAUGAGUUUGAGAUGGAGCUGGGACCUCAACAGACAAGUAGAAGCUACAGAGCAUCCUGAAAAAACAUAAGCAAAACCCUGGAGACAUUUUUACAACCAGAGCAGGGAUGUUCUGAAAGAAACAAGGAAGCAAGAACAGCGUGAACCCUGCGGUGUGUUCAGACGCAUUCCUCCGAUUCUGCAUUGCCGGAGUUACACAUUUCCAAGCAGGAACACUUCUUAUAUUCUUGUUCUUCCUGCCUCCCUGUAUCUCACUGCUCUCAGAGUGAUUGAUUUCAAGGCUUAAGAUUGGUUUGAGGCCAUGGGCCUGCAGGACUCUGAUGUGCUGAAGCUCUGGCCACUGUGGAGGCAUGAGGACACCUCUUCGAACUGCUGAGUUUGGGGCCCCACCUCACUCUGAAGGCCACUCUCUUUGAAAGGGCUGCUUUGCGGUUGAGGAAUUAAAGCAAGACUUUAGAAGGAACCCAAGAUGAAUACAGUUUGUGGUUGCUGUCUCCCAGAUCCUGGUUGGUUCUGUUCUUUUCAGCAUGAAUGUCCCCUGAAGGUAGUCAAGGUGAUCUGAGGUGGAGGCCUCUGUGGUGUGUAGGCGUCUGGGCUGUGGCUCUGCAGUGGGUGCACCCAGGUAUGUACCCCUGCCUGGAGAGAUGAUCCAGCCCUGGCUGCACAAUGUAUCCUGUUGGGGUAAUGAGUCCUCCCUCUGGGAGUGCAGCCUCGGGGCAUUGAGUCAGAGUGCUUGCCCCCAUGAGUGGAUGGUGGUGGCUCUCUGUGCAUGUAAGUGGUUCUGGGGGCUGGAGAAGCUGCUGAGAGGAAGGGAAUGAGGAACAAGGAAUGAGGAAUGAGGCUUUCUGGCCUUGGUUCCAGAUGGGAACACUCUGUUAGAUUCUGCCAUCUCUCCUCUCUGGAUUCCUCUAAUUCUUUCAACAAAUGUUUAGAUGACAAGCACUGUUCCAGGAGCUGAUGACUUAGCCUUGAUCAAACCUGACAAAUCCUGCUGGGUGGAGCUUAUGCUUCCAGGAGAGGCAGAGGGAACAAAAAGCAGAGUGAAGCCCAUGGGUGGGUCCCACUGACCUUGCAGACGGCUCCAGGAGCUACAGUAUGCAUGUACUGAAUGUUUCCAAUCAAAUGGUUGCCAGGCAAAUGCUUUCCCUUGGAAGCUGACUUCUAGUGCUAUCGGCUGCCUCUGUGAGCUCAUUUGGGCCUCCCUAGGUGUCCUGUGGCUGAAGUAGGACCCCCUCCCCAUAUGAUCUUGGGGUUAGUACCAAGCAAGGUUGUAGGCCUUGUUAAGACAUGCUUCAGGGGCUUUAGAGAUGGCUCAGCAGUUAAGAGCGAGUACUGCUUUUUCAGAGGACCUGCAUUUGAAUCUCAGCAUCCAUGCAGAGCAAGUAACAACUGCCUGUAAAUCCAUUUAUUUAUGUCCAUAUAUAUAUAUGUUUUUUUUGUUUUGAGAAAGGGUCUCACUAAUAGUCCCUGCUGGUCUGGAGCUUUCUAUGUAGCUCAGGCUAGUUUAGAACCAUUUGAUUCUUCUGCUUCCACUUUCCAAAUCUGGGAUCACUGGUGUGCAACACCAUAUCCAGCUCAAGUUCUACCUUUAACUUGGGAAAGUUAACGCAUUACAUUUAAGGUCAUUAUUAAUAAAUAAGCAUAUACACACUCCUGCUGUUUCUUUGAUCUUUUAUGGUUGUUAAGUCUGUUCCUUUUUCCUUCUUGCUUCUCUUUUUCAUCUCUCUGCUCUGCUGGUUUUCUCUAACAUUAGGUUGAAAUCCCUUCCUCUUUUGUGUGUUGGCUGUGCUGUGAUGUUUUGUCUUUUUGUGUGUGUUAGUCCCAUUUCUCAACUUUUAGAUCUGUUGUAAAUUUCCUUGAGCCUUUCUUAUAGGGCUGGUCUAGUGUUGAUGAAGUCUUCAGUGUUUCUUUGUGUUGGAAAAAAUAUUUAUUCUUUUCUGAAGGAACUCAGUGGGUCUGGUAUUCUGAAGGAACUUAGUUGCUUAUUUAUUUUCCUCAGAACUUUGAAUAUACCUACUUUCUCCUGGUCUAUGAUUCAGAGCAUAGGUCUGCUGGCAGCCCAGUUUAUGACUUGACAUUCUUGAUGAAUUUGAUUUUUCUCCCAAGUGUGCAUCUUUGACAGAUCAACUCUAGUAAGUCUGAAGAGGAUAUUUUUGGGUUAAAUUCUCAAGUAUCUAGAGCUUGCAUGAACUGGAUGUCCUUACUUCUCUAAGGAUUGGAGAAAAGGCAGCAGUUCUGCAGCUGUAUAUGUUUUUUAUGUCUUUAUCUUCUUGAAUAUCUAUGAGUAAAAAUUUCCUUGUGUCAGGGUUUCCUUUAAGCCUCAGCAUUCUUUCUGUCUUAUCUCUCUGGAUAAUUUUAAUAGACUUAUUUUCAAGUCUGAAAGUCAUCAACUCUACCAACUCCACUGUUUAGAUUCUCAAUAAUACUUUUAAAAUUAAAAAAUUAUUCGACUAUUUCCACAGUGUUUUAAAAAAUUCAAUUGGUUUUCAAAUACUAAAUGGUCAACCCUCAAAACAUAUAUACAAGUAACAUUAUACAGACUGGGCAUGUUGUACUUCUGUACUUAGGAACAUAUGCAUAUGUAUACACAUAUAUUCCUAUGUAUGUAACAAUAAUUAAUGAAAAAAGAGGCCAUGGAUUUUAAAAAGAACAAGAAGCAGGUACA